AUGAUCGGUAGCUCACUGACC
rnacentral:snRNA from 1 species